GGUUGACCUCUAUCAG
rnacentral:rRNA from 1 species